GUACUCUCACACUCCCAAUCCCUUUGGAUUGGGAGCGGUGGACUUGGGUGUUGCCGCUUGACUGAGGCUCACCUGAAAUAUGUUAGUGCAUCUCUUGAUUGGACAUAGUACGGCGUGAUAAGUGUCUUCGCCGGCUCCUCGCAAAGAGGGUGGCCGAUCGGGAGCUCUGUUGCUUCAAACAGUCUUCGGACAAUCUUCUGACA
rnacentral:misc_RNA from 2 species